AUUUGAUCUGACAUUUUUGUUUCUGGAUUUCCUGGGUCUUUAUGAUGCUGCAUGGUUGGUAGGAAGGUGCCAUGUGACCCAUGACAUCAUGGCUGUAGUGACUCCAAGGGGACAGUAGUGUCAUUGAAUGAUAAUAGACCAGGAAAUAAGAUGUGGUCAAGAAAUGAUCCAACUUCAAAUGUCAGUCCGAUCUGUUAUCAAAGUUUAGAUUGCUAACUAAACAGUCAACAUUUCUACUAACAGAAUCAAUUAAGUUUUUCACAAAAUAGAGAAUGGUCUGCAAUCUCAGAUGAUCCAGAAAUGCAUGCACUGACCUUUAUAUGGUUGUUCCAGUGACGUCACCUGAGUUGCAGUUUCGGGAUCAUUCUGGAUAAUAUUGUCAUUUUGUUUAUCUCUUAAACUUUGCUGAACUUUGCUUAGUUCAACAUGGGAUACAGGGCACUUUAUUUGGACAUGAAACCCUGUGAGAAAACAUCAUGUUACAUUUAUAAUUUACUGCUGCAAUUAUGUAUGUGAAGUUCAGUGCUUAUAAUUGAUUCUGCAGUUAGAUAUCAUCUUGCUUCUGUCUGAUUAAUUUCUUAUUUUCCUUUCUCUCUUAGUUGAAACAGGAAAUCUAUGAGAAUUUCAUAAAUGUCUCAGUGCCCGAUCAACAGAAGAAAAGUUCAGAUAAAGAUGAUAAUUUGACUCAAGAAGACAAAAACAUUGUAACCUAUGCCACAGUGUCCUUUAAGCAGAAGAAAAUGCCAAAACAAGACGAUAAACCUCAAUGGGAAUUUCAUGACAGUGCUAUAUAUUCUACAUUGGCAUAUCCCGAAAAUAGAAGCCAAGAGGAAUCUCUCACACCUUUUCCUGCAAGCGCAAAUUCUGAUCUCUACUGAUUAUAGCAAUUUCUCAAAAAAUUACAACUGAAAUUUUUUGUACUGUACAUUUCGUAGACAAUCUAAAAUGCAACUUUUACUUGUGCCGUAUUAUUGUGUCCUAAUGCAGUGUUUAUCAAACGUUUGUCAUCACAAUCCAUUUUUUUAAUUGUAAGUGUCUUUGUGACGCACUUUUUCCCAUGCAAGUGUCUUUGUGACCCA